UAUCUCAAUGGGAAAUGCCCUACCUUUGAGUGCGGUUUGAACCAUUGAUUUACGUAAUUGGAAGUAACCAAUUAGGUUUACGACGAAACCUAGAAAUCAAUCACUGAUCCAAUUUGAGUACCUCUACGGGAUAGACCUCAACAGAAAACUGAAGAGUAACGGCAGCAAGUGAUUGAGUUCAGUAGUUCCUCAUAUAAAAUUAUUGACUCUAGAGAUAUGGUAAUAUGGAGAAGACAAAAUUGUUUGAAGCACCGACAGAACCGGAAGCGCCCCUUGUUUCAAAGAGAGGAGGACGGGUUAUUCACAUUUCAUUUGAUGGUCAGAGGCGAAUUUAAAGCUAAGCAGUGGUAAUUCUACCCCCGGGGAAAAAUAGAGAUGUCUCCUACGUUACCCGUAAUAUGUGGAA